GAUGAACGCUGGCGGCGCGCCUAACACAUGCAAGUCGAACGGCACCUAUCUUCGGAUAGAAGCGAGUGGCGAACGGCUGAGUAACACGUGGAGAACCUGCCCCCUCCCCCGGGAUAGCCGCCCGAAAGGACGGGUAAUACCGGAUACCCCGGGGUGCCGCAUGGCGCCCCGGCUAAAGCCCCGACGGGAGGGGAUGGCUCCGCGGCCCAUCAGGUAGACGGCGGGGUGACGGCCCACCGUGCCGACAACGGGUAGCCGGGUUGAGAGACCGACCGGCCAGAUUGGGACUGAGACACGGCCCAGACUCCUACGGGAGGCAGCAGUGGGGAAUCUUGCGCAAUGGGGGGAACCCUGACGCAGCGACGCCGCGUGCGGGACGGAGGCCUUCGGGUCGUAAACCGCUUUCAGCAGGGAAGAGUCAAGACUGUACCUGCAGAAGAAGCCCCGG
rnacentral:rRNA from 1 species